rnacentral:rRNA from 1 species
UACGUAGGGUGCAAGCGUUGUCCGGAAUUACUGGGCGUAAAGGGCGCGUAGGCGGCCCGCUAAGUCGAACGUGAAAUCCCCGAGCUCAACUCGGGAACUGCGUCCGAUACUGGCGGGCUUGAAUCCGGGAGAGGGAUGCGGAAUUCCAGGUGUAGCGGUGAAAUGCGUAGAUAUCUGGAGGAACACCGGUGGCGAAGGCGGCAUCCUGGACCGGCAUUGACGCUGAGGCGCGAAAGCGUGGGGAGCAAACGGG